UGUUGGUCAGGCUGGUCUUGAACUCCUACCUCGGGUGAUCAGCCCGUCUCAGCCUCCCAAAGUGCUGGGAUUACAGGUGUAAGCCACUGUGCCCGGCCACAGAUACAGUUCUUAAAACAAUCCUGGAAGGUGAUUUCUUAAAAACAAAACAAAGCUUCUGGAGUGGUCUUUGGCACAAAGUAGGAAGGCAGUAACUAUUUCUUGAAUACAUGAAUACAUCUUUCUAUUUGCUUGGUGUCUGUCUUCCCUCUCUCUCCCUGGAAUAUGAACUCUCUGAUGGCAGAAACCUUGUUUUGCCUUCUGCGAUAUCCCAAGCACCUAGAAUGCAGCCUAGCACAUGGGAGACACUCAAUGAGUAUGUCUUCUCUAAAAGAUGGAAAACCUGAGGUUUAACAAGAUGCAAUAUCUUUUGCAAAAUCACACAAUAACUGGGAAGAUCUGGGACUUGACCCAAGUCAACCCAUGACCUUUUCCCUUUACAUAAUGUCUAUCUUACCUUUUCUUCCUCCUCCCCAUAAUCAUUCUCUUAUUACCUCAGGCCUCUUUAUAUCCCAAAUAUUCUUUUCUGUCAAUAAUUCACCAAUAAGGUUCUGUUUAAAGGACUUAGCACAAAAGCAUGUGUUGGUGAAUGAAUAUUUCAAACGUAUCUAUUAGAGUAGGAAAUGAUGGGGAAGUUUUAUUCUCCUGUCUGUGCCAAAAAAGUAGUAGAGGAAUACACAGGCAUAAAGGAUUGCUUGUCCCUUGCACCUGCAGUGGGCCUUCUGCUGUGGAGACAGUGCAGUUGAAUCUUAAUAAUAUAAAGUCAAACUCACUGGUGCACUACAGCUCAUCCUCCGGAUCACCUGAGGUCACGUGGUCACCUGAUAAGUGUAGGCAGACUGUAAUCUCAUAGUAUAAUGAUCAUAGUGAAAGAAUAACUUGUAGCAGUACCUGGCUGGUUUGGGAGGAAGGCAGAAGGAAAGCAAUGGGAAGUUAGGAACUGCAGAAUCAGGAUUGAAAAUUUUGGUGCUGGUCUGAAGAAUCCAUGUAACUCAGAAUUUCACAAAGCAUGGGCAUUGGUGGUUUUUGUUAGUACUAGGUUCCAGCUACUUUUUUAUUUUUCUAGUUUUUUUCCCAUUCUUUCUACACUGACUUCUUCUCUCUGUUUUUCCUAUUAGCUGAAUGAAAUGUAAAGCUUUCUAAUAUUGUCAGUGUUUUAGGGAACCAUGCACUAUCACAGUGCAUAAUAGUGUGUGUAAAGGCAAAACAAGGUUCCUGCUGUCAGGGAGCUUACAUUCUGGGAAGAGAGGAAAGGGGUCAGGCACCAAACAAAUAAAUAGAUUUAUGGAAUAUAAAUUGAUUUAGGCUUUUGGAGGAUAAUUCAUAAAUAUAUAUUAAAUUCUUAAAGGUUCACAAUGGUUCAACUCAGUCGUUCCAUUUCUAGAUAUUCGUUCUAGAGAAAUACUUGUGCAUAUGAACAGAGGCAUGUACAUGGUUGCUCAUGUCAGUAGUAGCAAUAAUAGAGAAAAGGACAAACAAUCACACUGCUUAUCAAUGAGGAACUCUGGAGAGGGAAUUGGUUACAUGAACUAUGGUUCAUUUGUACUAUGAAAUACUGUAUAUUUGGAAAUAAGGUAGAAUUACUAUAUCUAUCUAUCUAUCAUCUAUAUCAAAGACAUACACACAUGACUUGAAAAAAGUCUUCAAGACAUAUUACUUAGUAGGAACAAAAAUGUUUGCUGUACUAUUUUGUACACUAUUAUCUUUUUUAUUUAAAAAACAUUCUAAGAGAUAUAUUCCAUAGGUACACAUAUAAUGUGUCAAUGAGGUUGUAGCAGCUAAGCUGUCAUAAGAGACCCAACAAUCAUGUGGCUUUUAACCAUAUGGCCUAGACCAAUGAGCAAAAAGCUUACUGCUGUCUCAUCACAGGAUGUGGGGGCUGUUCCAAAGUCAUUCAAGGCCCAUAUUUCUUCCAUAUUGUGGUGGUUCUGCCAUUCUUUAGGCUCUAGGGCCUUAGAAUUGCAUAGACAAGGCUGAGUCACUGAUAUAGCCAGGUCCCAACCAGCCAUAAAGGAAAAGAGAAAAUGUGGGGGAGACCUAUUCACUACCGUAAGGGUCCCACCUUAGGGACCACACACAUCACUUUCACUCACAACCUGUUGGUGAAAACUUUGUCCAACAGCCACCUCGUAUAGCAAGGAGGGUUGGAAAUGCAGACCCUGGCAAGAUGCCCAUGUACCUAACCAUAGCUCUAUGACAGUGAAAGUAACAGAGAAUAAGUUUUGCUGGACAGCUAACUAUCUUCCUCACCAUAUACAGCAGCACUGUCCCCAACCUUUUUAGCAUCAAAGACUGGUUUCAUAGAAGGUGGGGGGAUAGUUUGGGGAUGAAAUUGUUCCACCUCAGAUCAUCAGGCAUUAGAUUUUCAUAAGGAUUAUGCAACCUAGAUCCCCUGCAUGUGCAGUUCACAACAGGGUUCCAUUCCUAUGAGAGUCUAAUGGUUCUGCUGAUCUGACAGAGGCAGAGCUAAGGCGGUAAUGCUUGUCAACUUCCUGUCUAACUCAGAAUCUGUAACAGCUCCAUGAGGCCAGCUUAAGCUCCCAACUGGCCUCUCUUGUAACAUUGCCUUUCUCUUCUUCUUACUUUUCACCUUCAACAUCUUUACUCCACUAUACUCUCUUCCAUGCUAACCACCAUUGAACUGCUUCAGAAAUUUGGAUGCUUAAUUUCUACUGGAUUAUAAGCAGGAUGCCCACUGCCUACUGGAUUAUAAGAAGUCAACAAAAUUAUAAUCCAGUAGGGAUUAUACCUACAAAUGGCCUUUUACCCUUGCACUGGGAUUUUUUCACUCACUCCUUUACUCACACAAAUAUAUUGGGCAUUUAUAACAAUGAUAGAUCCAUUAGGAAGCUGGAGUGAUGAGACAGAGUUGUCAUUGACACCAGCUGUACCCUUCAGAAACGUAUAUUGAAUUAGCCAAACAAGACAUCUGUGUCAGAAUAGAUGAGUAACAAUGGCAGUUGAUGUGCCUGAGUUAGUGGUAAAGCUAUUAAGCUAAGUAGGACUUCAAAAUGGGAGAUGAUGACUAGGAUUAGGUUUGACUGGAGGUUCCUUAAUGAGAUGAGACUGGAAUUGUACCCUCAGGCACCUGUGGUAUUUGUCUAGACAUAAAGACAUUAACAUGUAUGGUGGGAAUGGAGUGAACACUUAUUGACUGCCUGCUACGUGCUGUGCCCUGUUUCAGGCAUUUUGCCUGCAUUACUCCAUUUAUCCCUAUAACAUAUCAUUAAAAUAGGUACCCUGAUUUUACAGAGAAAGAAAAUGAAGCAGAGAGCUUAUAUUAAUGCCUCUCCCCAGGCUAGGAAGCAGAAGAAGUGGGAUGUAUGUCUGGUUUCUAAUGACCUCACUGUGUCUCAGAGCAUUUCAGGCAGGAGAAGAAGCAGGAGCAAUGUGAUGGAAGAGAGUUGAGUGUGAUCCAUUGAGGGACAGGGAGGAAGGGAGGAGAGCAGGUUGGGUGGCAGUAUGUCAUUCCAUAUGCUUUUAGGUUGAGGUCACCCUGGUGUCUGAUGUGCUCUGGUCCAAGAGAAUUGAGUUACUUGCAGGAAGUGCUGUAUCAUGCUUCACUUGGCACUGAGUUCUCCACUAGCCGUGGGGGAAAGACACCCUACAAGUCAGUCCAGCUAUACUGGCCCAAUUUAACAAACCAGUUUAGAUGAGGUCUUUAGUUAACAGAAAACACCAUCAGCCUAUAUUAGUUCAUUGAUAGCAAACGCUGACCGAGAGUCCUACAACCUUCCUGUAUCAUGAGCAUCAGUUGCUCUGGGUGACUUGUGGUCACUAGAACAUAGGGCAGAUGGGUCUCCCUGGUCCCUGACCUACAUGGUCUCAGAGCAGCAGUAAGCUCUACUCCUCUUGGAUUUCUUCUGGUUGGAUGCUUGCUCAGCUCUUCAUGAGGUGACUGUAUUCCAGUGUUUCUCAGAGAUCAUGUUCUUUAAAACUCCUUGAGAUUUUGGCAGCAAUUUCUCAGCACGUCCUUGGAGGUGUGUUUCUCCCUGGUCCUGCAGCUAUCACCCCUUGCUUCUGCCCUGAAAGCCCUCUCCUCUGGAAAGCUGAAACAAAAAGGAUCUUCCUAGGCUAUUUUCCCCCCUUUCCCUCUCUGACCCAAGCCAUAAACAAUUCUCAAAUGCUUUCCAAAGACCUUUUCUCUAGAAAUGGCUCAUUAUUUUGAUAAGUCAAAUGAGAGGAAGAUAAUCCCUUUUAAUUAGAAAGACAUGAUGGGUAAUGCUUUUUAUAGUGUUACCUCUGUAUUACGGGGGCCCAGAAUGCCGAAAGAAGUAAUUUGUCCUUUUUCCUGAAGGUAUCUUGGCUGUGGGGUGUGGUUGGGAGGGGAAAGCCUUGGAGUUCUCUGAGUAGAAAAAUGAUAGGAUGGAUGUUUAUGAUUUGUACUCUGGUGAUCUAGAGUGGUAAUAGUGCCCAGCACUAUGCCAAGUUCUUUACAAGUGUUUCCCUUAAUCCUUACAAGGAACCCUAUGAGAUUGGGCCCAUUUUGUGGAUGUGACAACUGAAGCUUAGAGGGUUUUAUUUUUCCUAUGGCUGGUACAUGGCAGAGCUGAGUUUGAUCCUGAUAAUUUCAAUCCAAACACAAUGGGUGUAAAUAUUUUGCCAGUGAGGACAGAGAGAGAAACUUCCAGGAGGCUGUUGUGGAGUCUGUACUUCAGCAGGGGGCCAGACUUUGUUGGCUCUGGGAAUAGAACAGAAAGGAAGGGUGAGGUCGUUGACAGGAAAGGCUGGCAGGCAGAGAGUGAAAAGGACAAUGAAGAAGAGAGGAAGGGGCACUGACUGGGAGCCCUGCAGCCAAGCGUGUUCCAGUAGCUAUGCCACCAAUCCCUACGAUCAUGUCAUGAAAAAGUUCUUAUUUUCUCCAUUUUGUGGUUGAGGAGAUAGAUUCAGAGAUUUGAAAUGACUCCAUAGCAUCCAAGCGGCAGAGCAGGGAUUUGAACCAGGCCCUAUGUGAUUUCCAGUUCGGAGCAUUUUGUACCUGUCUAUACUCUCCAGAUGUGGCUUCAAGCUUCAGCCUUGGGCAUGAGGAGGAAGCACGAAACCUUUCCCAGAAACAGGGAAAUUGUGUCCCAGUGAAGGACAUAGGGGCAGGCUUUGGGAUAAUGAGUUCCUCGGGGAGCUGGCAGGAGUCUUUUGGGGUAGAAAUUUCUUAGCUAUUUGGGGACAGGAGCCGGUAGUGCAGAUUUGGAUGGCAGAAGUCACGAGGCAGAUGCCAGCCCUCAAGGGAAAACAGGUGGAGUCGGGAGGGUGCUGGGUGCUGGCAAUGGGUGGGGGUGCCCACAAACAGAAACGAAGAUUAACCACAGGACCAGCAAACGCAAUGGAGAAGGUACCGUACAAGAAAGUAAGAGGGUGCCAGGGUGAGAGACAAUCAAAAUGGAGAAGGCAUAGAGGUCGGAAUCCAGGCACACCCCAGCCAGCUGCUGGCUCUCCCAACUACCCAGGCUGCAGCAGUGAUAUUUUGGAUCACAUCAAUUUUAUUAAGAAUAUAUUACAUUGGUUCUUCCUUUUCCAUCUGCCAUCUGCGCCUCAGGUGGGGACACAACCAAAAUGCAGAUUUUCGUGAAAACCCUUAUAGGGAAGACCAUCACCCUCGAGGUUGAACCCUCGGAUACAAUAGAAAAUGUAAAGACCAAGAUCCAGGAUAAGGAAGAAAUUCCUCCUGAUCAGCAAAGACUGAUCUUUGCUGGCAAGCAACUGGAAGGUGGACGUACUUUGUCUGACUACAACAUUCAGAAGGAGUCUACUCUUCAUCUUGUGUUGAGACUUCGUGGUGGUGCUCAGAAAGGAAGAAGUCUUACACCACUCCCAAGAAGAAUAAGCACAAGAGAAAGAAGCUUACGCUGGCUGUCCUGAAAUAUUAUAAGGUGGACGAGAAUGGCAAAAUUAGUCGCCUUUGUAGAGAGUGCCCUUCUGAUGAAUGUGGUGCUGGGGUGUUUAUGGCAAGCCACUUUGACAGACAUUAUUGUGGCAAAUGUUGUCUGACUCACUGCUUCAACAAACCAGAAGACAAGUAACUGAGUUAAUAAAAGACAUGAAC